rnacentral:rRNA from 1 species
AACGAACGCUGGCGGCAGGCUUAACACAUGCAAGUCGAACGCCCGUAGCAAUACGGGAGUGGCGGACGGGUGAGUAACGCGUGGGAACGUGCCCUGAGGUACGGAAUAACUGCGGGAAACUGCAGCUAAUACCGUAUGAGCCCCGCAAGGGGGAAAGAUUUAUCGCCUUAGGAGCGGCCCGCGUCGGAUUAGCUAGUUGGUGGGGUAACGGCUUACCAAGGCUUCGAUCCGUAGCUGGUCUGAGAGGACGAUCAGCCACACUGGGACUGAGACACGGCCCAGACUCCUACGGGAGGCAGCAGUGGGGAAUCUUGCGCAAUGGGGGCAACCCUGACGCAGCCACGCCGCGUGAAUGAUGAAGGCCUUAGGGUUGUAAAGUUCUUUUGCCCGUGACGAUGAUGACGGUAACGGGAGAAUAAGCUCCGGCUAACUUCGUGCCAGCCGCCGCGGUAACAC